rnacentral:rRNA from 1 species
UACGGAGGGUGCGAGCGUUAUCCGGAUUCACUGGGUUUAAAGGGCGCGUAGGCGGGCAGGUAAGUCCGUGGUGAAAUCUCUGAGCUUAACUCAGAAACUGCCAUGGAUACUAUUUGUCUUGAAUGUUGUGGAGGUAAGCGGAAUAUGUCAUGUAGCGGUGAAAUGCUUAGAUAUGACAUAGAACACCAAUUGCGAAGGCAGCUUACUACACAAAUAUUGACGCUGAGGCACGAAAGCGUGGGGAUCAAACAGG